GACGUAGGGCGCGAGCGUUGUCCGGAUUUAUUGGGCGUAAAGAGCUCGUAGGCGGCUUGUCGCGUCGAAUGUGAAAUCUCAGGGCUCAACUCUGACAUUGCAUUCGAUACGGGCAGGCUAGAGUUCGGUAGGGGAGACUGGAAUUCCUGGUGUAGCGGUGAAAUGCGCAGAUAUCAGGAGGAACACCGGUGGCGAAGGCGGGUCUCUGGGCCGAUGCUGACGCUGAGGAGCGAAAGCGUGGGGAGCGAACAGG
rnacentral:rRNA from 1 species